rfam:Heligmosomoides polygyrus genome assembly, scaffold: HPBE_scaffold0009361
GCGCCGGUGGUGUAAGGCGAACAUCGCUGCCCGGAAAGCAGAAGAUGCGGGUUCGAAUCCCGCCUGGCGCA